rnacentral:lncRNA from 1 species
GGGGAGAGGCCCGAAGCCCUGGAGACAGCGCCCGAGGGAUGGAGGCCGCGCUCGGCUGCGCUCAGGUCCGGGUGGCUCCGGGAGCUGAGACCCCGCAGGAUGCAGCGGGGGGGGGCCAGGGCCUGAUCCCCUACCCCUGCGAGCCAGGGCCGCCUACGCCCCCACUGCUUCCCACAGGCUACUAGACGCAACAAUAGAAUUACCAUAUUGUUUUUCCUGGUUUGAAAGGACCAGAUGGAAAGAAACUGGGCAAGCCAAUGAAAGUCUCUGGGGAUCAUGGGAAUUGAGUGUCUAUGAAAACCAUAUUCCAGACAAGAAUAUAGUCUAAGGCUGGAGUGCAAUGGUGCAAUCUUGGCUCACCACAACCUCUGCCUCCCGGGUUCAAGCGAUUCUCCUGACUCAGCCUCCCAAGUGGGGUCGUGGCAUGUUGUCCAGGCUGGAUUUGAACUCCUGGGCUUAUGCAAUCUUCUGAUCCCAGCCUCUUGGGUAGCUGGGACUACAGGCAUGCACCAUAAUACCUGGCCAAAAGGACACAGCAAGAGGCAACAUUUUGGAAGCAGAGGGCAACUCUCACUGGAAACCAAAUCUCCUGGCACCUUGAUCUUGGAUUUUACAGCCUCCAGAACUGAUAGCUGGGAGGCAUUACAUAGUCAUGUGCGAGGUCAAAACUGAGUCACCACCACAACCAAGUUCCAGCUGGCAAGAAGAGGAAAAAUAACACAGAGGAGUUAUGACCAGUGUUGUAAGGAUCUGGCCUAGAAAUGGCAUGCAUCUCUUCCACUAAUAUCCUAUUGGUAAAAAUGUAGUCACAUGGGCACACCACCUAUCUGCAUGGAAGGCUGGGAAAUGUUGAUCGGUAGGGCAGCCAUAUGUGUAGGAAGGAGAAAACAGAAUUUGGUGGAUACCUAGUAGUCUCUGCCAUACCCUUGACCAGAAAUUUUUCUUCUAAAGAAUUUAAUUCUAAAAGUUAUAGACAUUCCCAAAGAUAUACCUGCAAGCAUCACAGCUUUGUGUAUAAUUGCAAAAGUUGAAAUCAACAUGAAUGCCCAAAAUAGUGAAUUAUUUAAACAGAUUAUUACCCAUAUUAUGAAGAAAUACUCUGCAACUCUUAAAAAUAAAUGUAAUGUGCCAGGCGCAAUGGGAUAUGCCUGCAGGCCCAGCUACACGGGAGGCCAAGGCAGGAGGAUCACUUGAAAUCAAGAGUUCAAGUCUAGCCUAGACAACAUAGUGAGACUUGGUCUCUAAAAAAGAAAAAAAAAAAUAAAACUGAUGUAAUGAAUAUAUAAUUACAACAAAAGAGGUCUAACACUAUAGUAGAAAAGUUUGGGGCACUCAUCCCAUUCAUAAUUAUUUUACAUUUAAAUUACUGUUCCUACUUAAGUGGUGAGCUUGGUAACCAUUUUCAUAUCAGGUGAUACUGCUGCAGUAAUCAUAGCUGUUUGAAUCAGGAAUAAUCCCAAUCACAUUUUCUCUUAAUCGUUUAUUAUACUGGGCAUUGGGGUUGCAAGAUAAUGCACAGUCCGAGCUCAAUACAUGUCUUCAUGUACCUGUAUGUAAAUCCCACUUUUAUUCUAAAAUUCUUUGAAUAUUUUGUUUCUUGGAACCCAAUGAUCCUAAGAAAAUUAUGUACUUUUACCUGAAAAUUAAAACCAAUAUUUAUAAAAAGUGUAUAUGCAGUAUGAUACCACUUUUAAAAAAAGAUAAAUUUAUAGAAAAAAGUUUAUAUGACUGACAACAAUGUCUCUGAGUGGUAGGAUUACAGUUAAUUUUUAUUUUCUUCAUUCUACUUAUCUUUAUUUUCUGAACUUUCUACAAUGAACAUGUUUUAUUUUUACUUUUGUUAAAAUAAAUAACAUUUAAUUUGACGGAAAAUUCUAAAAAUCAACAUUUGGUAACUUAAAUAUUCAUUGGCACAUGAUUCUGUGCCUGUUUCUGGGGGUCAUUCCCAUGAGAAGAGCAGGUAGAACUUAUGAGAAUAGAGCAGUCGAAAUAUUAUAGGUUUCAUAUUUUACGGCUUUAUUGAAAACAUUGAUAUAUUGAAUAUUCAUAAAUUUUAAUUUAACUUUCUUUUAUAAUCCUUAAUGUGAGGCUAAGGUAUAAGGAGAAAGGAGAUUGGUAAGGAAGUGUGAUACAUAUUGAAUCAGGUGUCAAGGUACCAUUUGUGCCUGGAUCUGACCAAUAGACCAAGGUAAAAAUCUCAAAGAAUGAGACUUGUAAUGAGAAUGCCACAAACUUGAAUACCUUAUGCACAAAACACAAACAUUGUUAUGCAUAAUGUACAUGAACCCUGAAACAAAGAUAAUGAUUUGGACCACCCAACUGAAGUGGCAUGUUAUGUUUUUGGCAUGAACAAAAGAAACAAGAGAGAAAAAAAUCAAAAUAAUUAAAAUAAAUUGUUAGAGAAAAGUUACUUUAAAAAUAGCUAUAACGCUUUGCAAUUUCAGUAACAGUUCUGCCUCUGAUGCAAUGUAAAACAUGUAUUAGACAUUCAGGCUCCACAAUAAAUUUUAAUGAGCACUACAAAUUUAGAAUAUAUAAAAAUAUCAGUAACCUAUGAAUUCAUCAACAUAACUCACUUUUCAGUUAAGUUAGGCUGAGUUGAAAUUCUACUAAGUUUUCCCAUAUUCUUGAUAAAGGCUAAAUUUGAAAUAAUUUAUUUAGAUGACUAAUUGGCAAUUUGAUAGUAGUUACAUUUUAUGUAACACUUGAUAUAAUAACCCAAAUUAAUUAGCUCAAUAUUAUCUUCUGUGGUUUAUUGAUCCAAAAGUACAUAUUUGUUAUGUAAACUUAUACUAUGUAAACUUGAAUUAGUUUUUUGCUUCCUUGAAUUAAUAAAGCCCAUUAAUGCAAAUCUAAGCCUUCAUAGACUUUUCCAAUCCUUAGUUAAAUAUUAAAAACUGAGUAUUGUAGUUAUUUGCUAGGUAUAAAAGGUGACUCAGAGUAGAGAGUAAGAUGUCAGCAAAUAGACAAUAAGAUGUCAGCAAAAGUGCCUCAAAUUUUAACUGCGUCAAGUUAAGGGCAUUGUAAAUACUGUAGUUUUAUGUAGCUUGCAACUUCUACUGAAAUGAGUUUAAUCAUGUCUUUCACAUAGCUGAAGUUUGUGUCAAGAUUUAAGCUGAUUUUCUCAUUCUUAUCAAAGUCUCACCUGGGGGUAGGGAGGGGUAGGCCUACCUCCCACCUCUAUACUAUCAUUUUAGGAACAGACAGGCAUAAAUCUGUUCAUAUGGUAGAACACAUGAUGUUAGAGUAUAUUUUGUUGAAUGCUAUGGAAUAUUAAUAUAAUUAAUUCUAAAAUAUCACCUAAAAUAUGUCAACUGAAGAUCUGACUGUACUAAAUAUGAAAAAUAA